GGCAGUGGUAGCUCAGUGGUUAAGCUUUUGGCCUACUAAUCAGAAGGUCUUGAGUUCAAACUCCAGCACUGCCA